CCUACGGGAGGCAGCAGUGAGGAAUAUUGGUCAAUGGACGCAAGUCUGAACCAGCCAUGCCGCGUGCAGGAAGACGGCUCUAUGAGUUGUAAACUUCUUUUGUCCGAGGGCAAAAGCAGAUACGCGUCCCUGUCUGAGAGUAUCGGACGAAAAAGCAUCGGCUAACUCCGUGCCAGCAGCCGCGGUAAUACGGAGGAUGCGAGCGUUAUCCGGAUUUAUUGGGUUUAAAGGGUGCGUAGGCGGUCGGUUAAGUAAGCGGUAAAAUCCCGGGGCUCAACCCCGGCGAGCCGUUGAUACGGGCCGGCUUGAGAGUGCGAGAGGUAGGCGGAAUGUGUGGUGUAGCGGUGAAAUGCUUAGAGAUCGUACAGAACACCGAUUGCGAAGGCAGCUUACCGGCG
rnacentral:rRNA from 1 species